rnacentral:rRNA from 1 species
UACGAAGGGGGCUAGCGUUGCUCGGAAUGACUGGGCGUAAAGGGCGCGUAGGCGGUUCGUACAGUCAGACGUGAAAUUCCUGGGCUUAACCUGGGGGCUGCAUUUGAUACGUGUUGUCUAGAGUGAGGAAGAGGGUCGUGGAAUUCCCAGUGUAGAGGUGAAAUUCGUAGAUAUUGGGAAGAACACCGGUGGCGAAGGCGGCGACCUGGUCCUUUACUGACGCUGAGGCGCGAAAGCGUGGGGAGCAAACAGG